rnacentral:rRNA from 1 species
UUGGGAAUCUUGGACAAUGGGGGAAACCCUGAUCCAGCCAUGCCGCGUGAGUGAUGAAGGCCUUAGGGUUGUAAAGCUCUUUUGCCAGGGAAGAUAAUGACGGUACCUGGAGAAUAAGCCCCGGCUAACUUCGUGCCAGCAGCCGCGGUAAUACGAAGGGGGCUAGCGUUGUUCGGAAUUACUGGGCGUAAAGCGCGCGCAGGCGGUUUCCCAAGUCAGUGGUGAAAGCCCGGAGCUCAACUCCGGAAUUGCCAUUGAAACUGUGAAACUUGAGUACGAGAGAGGUGAGUGGAAUUCCCAGUGUAGAGGUGAAAUUCGUAGAUAUUGGGAAGAACACCGGUGGCGAAGGCGGCUCACUGGCUCGUUACUGACGCUCAGGCGCGACAGCGUGGGGAUCAAACAGG